rnacentral:rRNA from 1 species
GACGAACGCUGGCGGCGUGCCUAAUACAUGCAAGUCGAGCGCAGGAAACUGACGGAACUCUUCGGAGGGAAAGCAGUGGAAUGAGCGGCGGACGGGUGAGUAACACGUAAGGAACCUGCCUCAAGGAUUGGGAUAACUCCGAGAAAUCGGAGCUAAUACCGGAUAGUUCAACGGACCGCAUGGUCCGCUGAUGAAAGGCGCUUCGGCGUCACCUUGAGAUGGCCUUGCGGUGCAUUAGCUAGUUGGUGGGGUAACGGCCCACCAAGGCGACGAGGCAUAGCCGACCUGAGAGGGUGAUCGGCCACACUGGGACUGAGACACGGCCCAGACUCCUACGGGAGGCAGCAGUAGGGAAUCUUCCACAAUGGACGAAAGUCUGAUGGAGCAACGCCGCGUGAGUGAUGAAGGUUUUCGGAUCGUAAAACUCUGUUGCAAGGGAAGAUCACGUACGAGAGGGAAUGCUCGUACCUUGACGGUACCUUACGAGAAAGCCACGGCUAACUACGUGCCAGCCGCCGCGGUAA